rnacentral:rRNA from 1 species
CCUACGGGCGGCUGCAGUCGAGAAUCAUUCACAAUGGGGGAAACCCUGAUGGUGCGACGCCGCGUGGGGGAAUGAAGGUCUUCGGAUUGUAAACCCCUGUCAUGUGGGAGCAAAUUAAAAAGAUAGUACCACAAGAGGAAGAGACGGCUAACUCUGUGCCAGCAGCCGCGGUAAUACAGAGGUCUCAAGCGUUGUUCGGAAUCACUGGGCGUAACGCGUGCGUAGGCUGUUUCGUAAGUCGUGUGUGAAAGGCGCGGGCUCAACCCGCGGACGGCACAUGAUACUGCGAGACUAGAGUAAUGGAGGGGGAACCGGAAUUCUCGGUGUAGCAGUGAAAUGCGUAGAUAGCGAGAGGAACACUCGUGGCGAAGGCGGGUUCCUGGACAUUAACUGACGCUGAGGCACGAAGGCCAGGGGAGCGAAAGGGAUUAGAUACCCUAGUAGUC